GGAUUAGUGGCGAACGGGUGAGUAACACGUGAGUAACCUGCCUUACACAAGGGGAUAGCCUUUGGAAACGAAGAAUAAUACCCUAUAAAGUCAAAAUAUCGCAUGAUAAAGUGACCAAAGAUUUAUCGGUGUAAGAUGGACUUGCGUCUGAUUAGCUAGUUGGUGAGAUAAAAGCCCACCAAGGCGACGAUCAGUAGCCGGCUUGAGAGAGUGUACGGCCACAUUGGGACUGAGACACGGCCCAAACUCC
rnacentral:rRNA from 1 species